rnacentral:rRNA from 1 species
GGCGCACGGGGUGCGUAACGCGUGGGAAUCUGCUUGGUCGGAAUACUCAGAGAAAUUUGAGCUAAUACGGAUGAUGACGUAAGUCCAAAAGAUUUAUCGCCAGAUGAGCCCGCGUAAGAUUAGCUAGUUGGUGGGGUAAAGCCUACCAAGGCGACGAUCUUUACUGGUCUGAGAGGAUGAUCAGCCACACUGGGACUGAGACACGGCCCAGACUCCUACGGGAGGCAGCAGUGGGGAAUAUUGGACAAUGGGCGAAAGCCUGAUCCAGCAAUGCCGCGUGCAGGAUGAAGGCCCUCGGGUUGUAAACUGCUUUUGUACGGAACGAAAAGCCUGGGGCUAAAUAUCCCCGGGUCAUGACGGUACCGUAAGAAUAAGCACCGGCUAACUACGUGGCCACAGCCGCGGUAAUACGUAGGUGCAAGCGUUAAUCGGAAUUACUGGGCGUAAAGCGUGCGCAGGCGGGUUUUGUAAGACAGUGGUGAAAUCCCCGGGCUCAACCUGGGAACUGCCAUUUGGUGACUGCAGGUUAAAGUGCGGCAAGGGGGAUGGGAAUUCCGUUNUUACCAUUGAAAUGGUUAAAUUUGGAGAACCCGAUGGAAG